AGAAAACUGCAUCAACUCAUCUGACCAGAAGAUGAUGGUGAAACUGAGGAGAGACUUACUUAUGUCUUUCCUGAGACCAGGCUGUUGAGUGACUGGAAAUGUUCCUGAAGAGUGUAUGCUAUGGCAGGAGGCACCUGACUUAAAAGCACAUACAGACUAAUGACUUCAGUCUUGAAGAUUUUUAUUUGCCCUCAUACUGUAAGGAAUUUAGGCACAAUCCAAUUUAUGCAUGAUCUGCUGAAGGAUCAAGCUCACUGGAAACACUGCACAAAAGGCAUUUACAGAGGGAACUUCUGAGCACAGAAGAUUUUGAUUAAAAGGUGGAGAGAGAAGAGAAAUUUUCAUAUAUACUUCUUUGAGAGGAAAACAAAGCAAGAAUUGCCAAGUCCAAAGAGAGAAGAAUCCCUCUGGCAGCCCUGGAUGAGAGGAAUGUUCUUUAAUUAGCACAGAAGAUGAUUGUCUGCUUAAGUGGUGGGCAAUUCUACAUCAUUCAGAUAAGGAUUGUCAGGGAAAGGAAAAGAAGAGUAAAGGGAUCCACCAACAGAUGGAUGCAGAGUAUUGGUCUUAAAGACAGCCUGUUCUGCUGGAAGGAUAUAGUAUGUCCUCAAAGGUGGAUCUCAAUAAGGAUUUAUCAGUGAAUUGUGAGAGAACGUUUAGUUUUAGAAGAGUUAAUUUGAAGGACACUGAAGAAACAAAUUAUCCCCAAAUCAAUGGUAAAGUUAUUAAGCAUGAAGAAAUCCUACGUGAUAUACCCAAAUCCAUCCAGUGAAACAAGGAACACUCCACUUCACCCCAAAGAAAUAAGGCACCUUCCAGAAAAAGAAUUUGUUGUUUUGAUUAUUUAAAAAAGGUAUGUUAUGAACACAGGGUGACACUAUUUUUGCAUUUGAUAUUUCUUUCUUUUGUUUCCUGUGGAAGUAUUUCUAGUAAAUAACACUCUUUUGCAAGGCAGCAGACAUUCUGAAUUGGAAAACUAAUCUAUAAAAAUAAACAUAGUCUGGCCAUUG
rnacentral:lncRNA from 7 species